rnacentral:rRNA from 1 species
GAUGAACGCUAGCGGGAGGCCUAACACAUGCAAGCCGAGCGGGAUUUGUUGGUUAGCUUGCUAACUAACAAUGAGAGCGGCGUACGGGUGCGUAGCACGUGUGCAACCUGCCUUUAUCUGGGGGAUAGCCUUUCGAAAGGAAGAUUAAUACCCCAUAACCUAUUGAUUGGCAUCAGUUAAUAUUGAAAGCUCCGGCGGAUAGAGAUGGGCACGCGUAAGAUUAGCUAGUUGGUGAGGUAACGGCUCACCAAGGCUGCGAUCUUUAGGGGGCCUGAGAGGGUGAUCCCCCACACUGGUACUGAGACACGGACCAGACUCCUACGGGAGGCAGCAGUGAGGAAUAUUGGACAAUGGGUGAGAGCCUGAUCCAGCCAUCCCGCGUGAAGGACUAAGGACCUAUGGUUUGUAAACUUCUUUUAUACAGGGAUAAACCUACUCUCGUGAGGGUAGCUGAAGGUACUGUAUGAAUAAGCACCGGCUAACUCCGUG